ACAGUGUUCUGCUGAGGUAGGGCUCUUUGUGCACAUAGUAAGUAAUGUUGCAGUGAGGUGAAACCUCAGGCUCCUGAUUCAGCUGAUAUUUCUGGCAAAUUGUUGACCUAUUAUAGUUUAUUCAGGAUUUUUCCAGUCUUGGUAGAGCGGCUCUAACAGCGACAGAUUUGUCAUGCUGUUCCUAACAAAUAUGCAGCUUUUGUAACUGUGAACGUUGUAAUAUCUUGCGGCACCCCAGAUAAUAAUUGCUCUGCAGUAACACUCUGUUUAUAGGCAAGGAAAAGAAUUAAUUAAAUAUUAAUUAAUAGGGUUUAACAUCGCUGGUUCAAGCUUGUGUCAUAGAAUAACUCACAGGGACAACUUUAAUUUCAGCUGGCAUAUGUAUAUUGAUGAUUUCUCUGCUGGGCUGGAACUGGAGGACUGUGCGGCUGCGCUGCGGGCAGGGAGAAGGGCAGCCCAGCUAAUGAAAGGUGGCUGUCGGGAAAGGGUUCAGUGGAGCUGUUUGCCAGCUGGAAAAGAUGUAAAGGGGAAAGCAGGAAAAUGGCCCUUCUUUUUAUGUUCAUCUUGGGGAGGAGGAAGCGCAGAAACCGUCUGCUUGCCUGGUUUUGAUGCAGUGGGCUUGAUGGAGAAAAUACUGCUCUCUUAGAGAGAUAUUAGAUGUCUUACAGCGAUGUCUAAGAUUAGAUAUAUCUUAGAGAGAUGGUAGCACAAGCAAGAUUUUAGUCCAAUUUUGGAUCUGUUAAAAUUUGGAGGAAUUUUUGGAAUUCCUGCGGAGCUAACAAAACAUAAGGGCAUUGCUUACGUUGGUUCAAAGAGGAGAUGUGUCAAAUGGGAUGACAAACCCAAAUGCUAGCUUAUGCUUCACCCCCUGUUAAACCCAGUGAGAAGCUGUGAUCAAACCCCUUCUCUGGGUGUUGCUAAAAGGCUUUUAUUAGCAGAGCGAGAGGUGCAGCCUGUGGGGACCUGUCAUACUGAUGUUUCCUUGACAGGGGUCAGAGAUUAGACACACUGCUACAGCGCUGUACCUUCAAGUUGUCUUUUGCUACCCUUUGGCCUCACAUUUCAUGUCACAUUACGGCUCCAAAAUACUUGUGUAUAAGGUAAAUCUCAAGCUGGAAUUUGUACAAGGUGUGCACCAGCAGUUGGUCUUUUGGUGAUUUUGGGGGGCACAGCCCAGAGGUCAGGCUCACCCUUGCUUCCCAUGGGAUGGAUCCCUAAGUGCAGCUCAGCCUGCAUGGGUGAGGAUGCUCGCAGACAGCGGAGGUCUUGGGAAUUGCUAAUGAAACCAACUGCUCUGCCAGCAAACUAUCCUGGGUCCCCCACUGGCUGUGUAAUUAAAAUGGGGACUGUAUGGGUGUGAAGUUAAUGCUGUAUACAUAAUGUAUCUGUCCCAAGGUAAGCCUUCACAUCUGUUCUCUGUAAAACUCUAAGUGUGGGAUAUAAUUAAGCGGGUGAGAAAUAGUUCUGAGCAGAAUGAAUGCAGCGUUGUCCAGCAGCAGCAGCUCAAACUGCCUCUUGCUGUGGCAGCGCAGUGAGUUUAACCAGCCAGAGUCAGAGCUGGCACAAAAACAGGCUGGAGGCGCUGGUGGUUAAAAACAUGUGUGGGUUUGGGCUUGUUUUCUUUUUUCCCGUUUAUUCUGUCAUUGAGUACAAGGAGAAACUUCAGUCUGUAAAUGCCACCGAUUCUCCAUUUCACACUGACGUUCCCGGGGACAGCAGAACUGCCUGUAAAUGUCUGUCACCCAAUGAAAACUGGAAAAAAAAAAAAGAUCUUCCAGGCUUCUGCACAUCCUUAUCACUGGUAAAUAAGCUGUCACUUAACCCUUGCCAGCUCCUCCUGCUGCUGGAGUUGAAGGUGGUGAAAUGCUUGCCUCAACAGUGCUGCUCUUUGGGGUGCAGUUCUGGGAGAUAGAAAAGAGAUGGAGAAUACUUUUCCUGGUGUUCCAGGAAUCUGUCUGGAAAUGCUUUUAUGCUGGGGAGACAGAAAGGCUCACCCAAAAAAGAUUUGCAACUGAAGUAACUACCCACCCAGGCUUUUCUUCCCACCUCAGCUAUAUUUUUUUUGCUAAAUGUCAGUUUGCUUGUCAGCCUCCGGCGGGGUUUUGAUGUUAUUUCCUCACUUCUUUUCUGCAGGAUCCCUGUGUCAGAGAAGGAGAGAAAUGCCACAGCAUGACAGCUUCUGCUUCCUGGCCAGGGCUGUUUGUGUGAGCGGGGAGCUCUGGGAUGUAUGGGGGCUGGAGAGGCAGACAGACAUCACGUCUGCUGUCCGAGUUGGCGGUGGGAAAGGGAAGGAAAGGUGUGAGGACACUUGUCAUGCCUGAAAGUGGCAGCCACCAGAUUGAAAAGUAAAAUGUGCAAACGCGGUGUCCACACUCGGGUGGUUUCUCCUGGCACAAAGCAGGAGGAUGCUCCAGGGAUCUGGACACUUCUCACCUGCAGUCACACUCCAGCACUGGCUCCUCAGCUCCAGGCAUCUCGUAAGUCAAUGGGAGCUCUUGUGUACCUAUUGCAGGAGUUUUAUCCAGUUCCACCUGACUUCAUUUACAACUACACAUGCAUGUUUCAUGUAUAAAAGUCCACAGAGCUACAGGGAGAAAUAUUAUUCCUCUUCUCCUACAAUUUAGGUGCUCUUCAGUGAUGAGUUGCUGAUUUUCUACACUGUUUGUGUCAGCCCAGCCUCAGACAGCCCCACCUGAGCAGCUCUUCCUUCUGACAGGCCACAGAGAAAUAAGAAAUGAUUGCCAAGCAUCCGGCACUGCUGGUGCUCAGCUCACUCCCAGGAUGCCAAGGGAAGGGAUGUGACCUACCUCCGUGGAAAUCAGUGGCUGUUGGUGGGCCAUGGAGUCAUCCUCAUUCUGGCAGCAGAGAAAGGAAAAAUCCCAGCAGUUGCAGGAUUUGCAUGGAGACACAAAGUGAACCCACAUCAGAGACCUGUGAAAUUCCUGCUCUCCUCCGACACCAUGUCAGAAUUUGUCUGGAAAGAUUUCCUUUCAGAGCACUUUGUUAUUUGCCACCUGCCUUAAGGACAGGGUCUGCAACCAGCCUGGCCUCCUCCCUGCCGUUCAGCUCUGAGCAUCGUUAGAGGACACAGCAAGGAAGUCUGUUCUUACCAGCCAAAGCAAUGAUCACCUGUGACAGAGAGAAACACAUGUCCAAAAGGAAGGGAAAGCACAGAGGGAUGUGCCUGGACGCAACCCAGCGCCAGAGGAGCAGAUAAAGAGUGGGAGCACAAGAGGGACUGCUGUUCUGCUUAAAUGGCUGGAAGGUUCUCUAAAAGCAAAAGCUGGCUGUUUCUCGUAACAAGUCAUCAAGCAAAUCAACGCCAAUGAGAACAGAUCCAAAAUGCAAAGAUUUCUUCUUUUUAUAGGAAUAAAAGAUAAAUAUGUCACCAAAGAAAGAAAGUUGAGCUUCCAAUAGUGGAAACUGUAGAGGAUUCAAGCGCAAACACCUACAGCACUUACUGGCAAACUACGAAAGUACUCAGACUUUCCACAGGUCUCCAGCCUGAGCUAUUCUAAUUAUAUGCCUGUUGGCAACAGCAUGUCACCAGGGAGGCAAUAAAUAAGUGAUAACAUGCAUGGGACCUGGCACACACACUUUUCCAGCACAGAAAGAUCAUCCUUCACCAAGUGAUGCAGGCCACCUGAGCGAAUGAAAUAUGCAAGCCUGAGACUCCAAGUAAAUAGCUGCAGAGGACAUAUGUGUCAUAGUAAUAAAUAAAGGCAAGCAACAGAAACCUG